rnacentral:rRNA from 1 species
GAUCGCGGUUCCGAGAGAUCGGUUCCUUCAGCUCGGCUGGAUCCAAGACAGGUGCUGCAUGGCUGUCGUCAGCUCGUGUCGUGAGAUGUUCGGUUAAGUCCGGCAACGAGCGCAACCCACAUCCCUUAGUUGCCAGCAGGUUAAGCUGGGCACUCUAGGGAAACUGCCCGUGAUAAGCGGGAGGAAGGUGUGGAUGACGUCAAGUCCUCAUGGCCCUUACGGGUUGGGCUACACACGUGCUACAAUGGUGUCUACAGUGGGUUAAUCCCCAAAAGACAUCUCAGUUCGGAUUGUCGUCUGCAACUCGACGGCAUGAAGUCGGAAUCGCUAGUAAUCGCAGAACAGCAUGCUGCGGUGAAUACGUUCCCGGGCCUUGUACACACCGCCCGUCACACCAUGGGAGUUGGUUCUACCCGAAGAUCGUGCGCUAACUUCGGAGGCAGCGAGCCACGGUAGGAUCAGCGACUGGGGUGAAGUCGUAACAAGGUAACCUUAAUUAAAAA